AUGGCCCCCAAGGCGGCGGAGAAGAAGCCGGCGGCGAAGAAGCCCGCGGAGGAGGAGGCCACGACGGAGAAGGCCGAGAAGGCGCCGGCCGGGAAGAAGCCCAGGGCCGAGAAGCGGCUGCCGGCGGCGGGCAAGAGCAAGACUUCCGGCAAGGAGGGCGGCGGCGACAAAAAGUCGAAGAAGAAGAGCAAGAAGAGCGUGGAGACGUACAAGAUCUACAUCUUCAAGGUGCUGAAGCAGGUGCACCCCGACAUCGGCAUCUCCUCCAAGGCCAUGUCCAUCAUGAACUCCUUCAUCAACGACAUCUUCGAGAAGCUCGCCGGCGAGGCCGCCAAGCUCGCCCGCUACAACAAGAAGCCCACCAUCACCUCCCGGGAGAUCCAGACCUCCGUACGCCUCGUCCUCCCCGGCGAGCUCGCCAAGCACGCCGUCUCCGAGGGCACCAAGGCCGUCACCAAGUUCACCUCCUCUUAG
rnacentral:rRNA from 1 species